GAUGAACGCUGGCGGCGUGCUUAACACAUGCAAGUCGAACGAAACACCUUAUCUGAUUUUCUUCGGAACUGAAGAUUUGGUGAUUGAGUGGCGGACGGGUGAGUAACGCGUGGGUAACCUGCCCUGUACAGGGGGAUAACAGUCAGAAAUGACUGCUAAUACCGCAUAAGACCACAGCACCGCAUGGUGCAGGGGUAAAAACUCCGGUGGUACAGGAUGGACCCGCGUCUGAUUAGCUGGUUGGUGAGGUAACGGCUCACCAAGGCGACGAUCAGUAGCCGGCUUGAGAGAGUGAACGGCCACAUUGGGACUGAGACACGGCCCAAACUCCUACGGGAGGCAGCAGUGGGGAAUAUUGCACAAUGGGGGAAACCCUGAUGCAGCGACGCCGCGUGAGUGAAGAAGUAUCUCGGUAUGUAAAGCUCUAUCAGCAGGGAAGAAAAUGACG
rnacentral:rRNA from 1 species